rnacentral:rRNA from 1 species
UGGCCUACCAAGGCAAUGAUCUAUAGCUGAUCUGAGAGGAUGAUCAGCCACACUGGAACUGAGAUACGGUCCAGACUCCUAUGGGAGGCAGCAGUGGGGAAUAUUGGACAAUGGGCGAAAGCCUGAUCCAGCCAUGCCGCAUGAGUGGAGAAGGCCUUCGGGUUGUAAAGCUCUUUUAGUGAGGAAGAUAAUGACGGUACUCACAGAAGAAGUCCUGGCUAACUCCGUGCCAGCAGCCGCGGUAAUACGGAGAGGGCUAGCGUUAUUCGGAAUCAUUGGGCGUAAAGGGCGCGUAGGCGGAUUAGUAAGUUAAAAGUGAAAUCCCAAGGCUCAACCUUGGAAUUGCUUUUAAAACUGCUAGUCUAGAGAUUGAAAGAGGAUAGAGGAAUUCCUAGUGUAGAGGUGAAAUUCGUAAAUAUUAGGAGGAACACCAGUGGCGAAGGCGUCUAUCUGGUUCAAAUCUGACGCUGAGGCGCGAAGGCGUGGGGAGCAAACAGGAUUAGAUACCCUGGUAGUCCACGCUGUAAACGAUGAAUGUUAAAUAUGGGAAGUUUACUUUCUGUAUUACAGCUAACGCGUUAAACAUUCCGCCUGGGGACUACGGUCGCAAGAUUAAAACUCAAAGGAAUUGACGGGGACCCGCACAAGCGGUGGAGCAUGUGGUUUAAUUCGAUGCAACGCGAAAAACCUUACCACUUCUUGACAUGGAAAUUAUACCUAUUCGAAGGGAUAGGGUCGGUUCGGCCGGGUUUCACACAGGUGUUGCAUGGCUGUCGUCAGCUCGUGUCGUGAGAUGUUGGGUAAAGUCCCGCAACGAGCGCAACCCUCAUCCUUAGUUACCAUCAGGUAAUGCUGGGGACUUUAAGGAAACUGCUAGUGAUAAACUGGAGGAAGGUGGGGAUGAUGUCAAGUCAUCAUGGCCCUUAUGAAGUGGGCUACACACGUGCUACAAUGGUGGCUACAAUGGGCUGCAAAGUCGCGAGGCUAAGCUAAUCCCUUAAAAGCCAUCUCAGUUCGAAUUGCACUCUGCAACUCGAGUGCAUGAAGUUGGAAUCGCUAGUAAUCGUGGAUCAGCAUGCCACGGUGAAUACGUUCUCGGGUCUUGUACACACUGCCCGUCACGCCAUGGGAAUUGGUUUCACUCGAAGCUAACGACCUAACCGCAAGGAGGGAGUUAUUUAAAGUGGGAUCGGUGACUGGGGUGAAGUCGAAACAAGGUAGCGGUAGGGGAAUCUGCAGCUG